rnacentral:rRNA from 1 species
CGGCGAGUGAAGCGGCAACAGCUCAAAUUUGAAAUCUGGCCUUCGGGUCCGAGUUGUAAUUUGCAGAGGAUGCUUUUGGCGCGGUGCCUUCCGAGUUCCCUGGAACGGGACGCCUUAGAGGGUGAGAGCCCCGUACGGUUGGACACCAAGCCUCUGUAAAGCUCCUUCGACGAGUCGAGUAGUUUGGGAAUGCUGCUCUAAAUGGGAGGUAAAUUUCUUCUAAAGCUAAAUAUUGGCCAGAGACCGAUAGCGCACAAGUAGAGUGAUCGAAAGAUGAAAAGCACUUUGAAAAGAGGGUUAAACAGCACGUGAAAUUGUUGAAAGGGAAGCGUUUGCGACCAGACCUUCUCCUGGCGGAUCAUCCGGUGGUUUCCACCGGUGCACUUCGCCAGGUCGAGGCCAGCAUCGGUCUUUGUAGGGGGAUAAAAGCUCAGGGAACGUAGCUCCUCCGGGAGUGUUAUAGCCCUCCGCAUAAUACCUUUACGGGGACCGAGGACCGCGCAAGGAUGCUGGCGUAAUGGUUGUCAACGACCCGUCUUGAAACACGGACCAAGGAGUCGAACAUUUGUGCGAGUGUUUGGGUGUUAAACCCUCACGCGUAAUGAAAGUGAACGGAGGUGAGAGCCCUUACGGGUGCAUCAUCGACCGAUCCUGAUGUCUUCGGAUGGAUUUGAGUAAGAGCAUAACUGUUCGGACCCGAAAGAUGGUGAACUAUGCGUGGAUAGGGUGAAGCCAGAGGAAACUCUGGUGGAGGCUCGCAGCGGUUCUGACGUGCAAAUCGAUCGUCAAAUCUGCGCAUGGGGGCGAAAG